UGGGGUCAUAACCCCACACCCAUGAAACAACUCACGGGAAAAAGAGACAUUUUAACAGCACAGUCGAAACUGUGGAGAAAGGAGCGCUGCCCCUGUCUUCUCACCGUCUCCUAUUGUGGAUCGGGGAGGAGGCGUGACCAUAAUUACUGCAGGCAAUUAGCGAGCAUAGGCUAUGUCCAAAUGCAGUGGAGUCUGGAUGCUGAGGAGGUGAGCCACUAACUGACUGGUAUCACGGAUAAACAAGGAGAAGACAAAAGACAUCUUUCCUUGAAACACCACAAAUAUCCUGCAUAAACGAUGCCCUCCGGGACCACCACCACAGC